UACGAAGGGGGCUAGCGUUGUUCGGAUUCAUUGGGCGUAAAGGGUGCGUAGGCGGUUUUCUAAGUUUGAUGUGAAAUCCCGGGGCUCAACCCUGGAAUUGCAUUGAAUACUGGGAGACUAGAGUACUGGAGAGGAAACUGGAAUUUACGGUGUAGCAGUGAAAUGCGUAGAGAUCGUAAGGAACACCGGUGGCGAAGGCGGGUCUCUGGGGCCGGAUACUGACGCUGAGGAGC
rnacentral:rRNA from 1 species